rnacentral:rRNA from 1 species
AGAGUUUGAUCAUGGCUCAGAACGUACGCUGGCGGCACGCCUAACACAUGCAAGUCGAACGAAGUAGCAAUACUUAGUGGCAGACGGGUGAGUAACAUGUGGGUAUCUGCCCUUUGGCCUGGAAUAACACGAGGAAACUUGUGCUAAUACUGGAUAAGUCUUUACGGAGAAAGCUUUAUGCACCAUUGGAUGAGCCUGCACUUGAUUAGUUUGUUGGUGGGGUAACGGCCUACCAAGACUGUGAUCAAUAGCUGAUUUGAGAGGAUGAUCAGCCACAUUGGGACUGAGACACGGCCCAAACUCCUACGGGAGGCAGCAGUGGGGAAUCUUGCACAAUGGAGGAAACUCUGAUGCAGCGAUGCCGCGUGAGUGAAGAAGGCCUUUGGGUUGUAAAGCUCUUUCGUCGGGGAAGAAAAUGACUGUACCCGAAUAAGAAGGUCCGGCUAACUUCGUGCCAGCAGCCGCGGUAAUACGAAGGGACCUAGCGUAGUUCGGAAUUACUGGGCUUAAAGAGUUCGUAGGUGGUUGAAAAAGUUGGUGGUGAAAUCCCAGAGCUUAACUCUGGAACUGCCAUCAAAACUUUUCAGCUAGAGUAUGAUAGAGGAAAGCAGAAUUUCUAGUGUAGAGGUGAAAUUCGUAGAUAUUAGAAAGAAUACCAAUUGCGAAGGCAGCUUUCUGGAUCAUUACUGACACUGAGGAACGAAAGCAUGGGUAGCGAAGAGGAUUAGAUACCCUCGUAGUCCAUGCCGUAAACGAUGUGUGUUAGACGUUGGAAAUUUAUUUUCAGUGUCGCAGCGAAAGCGAUAAACACACCGCCUGGGGAGUACGACCGCAAGGUCAAAACUCAAAUGAAUUGACGGGGACCCGCACAAGUAGUGGAGCAUGUGGUUUAAUUCGAAGAUACGCGCAGAACCUUACCAACACUUGACAUGUUCGUCGCGACUUUAAGAGAUUAAAGUUUUCGGUUCGGCCGGACGAAACACAGGUGCUGCAUGGCUGUCGUCAGCUCGUGUCGUGAGAUGUUGGGUUAAGUCCCGCAACGAGCGCAACCCUCACUUUUAGUUGCCAUCAUUAAGUUGGGCACUCUGAAAGAACUGCCAGUGAUAAGCUGGAGGAAGGUGGGGAUGACGUCAAGUCCUCAUGGCCCUUACGUGUUGGGCUACACACGUGCUACAAUGGUAUCUACAACAGGAAGCAAGACGGCGACGUUAAGCAAAUCCUUAAAAGAUACCUCAGUUCGGAUUGCACUCUGCAACUCGAGUGCAUGAAGCUGGAAUUACUAGUAAUCGUGGAUCAGCGUGCCACGGUGAAUGCGUUCCCGGGUCUUGUAGA